GCAGUACAGUCUUGAUGAAAAUUUUGGUUUCUUUCCCUAAACUUAUUUUGUUCACUUUUCUGCAACCUGCAGUAUUGCAUCACACCGCAGGAAAAAAAAUCGCAGUGCGUGUACAGGAAUGGUUACAAAGAUACUUAUUUAUAUGAACUAUGACAAGGAAAUAUACAAGAAGAAAGAACUCAUUAAAUCUGUUAUGUUGGUGUGAAAAGUACUGAAUGAGGUGCCGCUGUACUGUGAUGGACCAAAUGUUGUCUAGGCAUGGAAAAAGACAGAUUGAUUCACACAUUUUAGUGAGAUAAGCUGUCGGGCUAAAUGUCAGAACCCUUUCCACAUAUAAGGUGAGGAGGCAUCAGAUUAAUCACCAUUAAUUGGUUGCUGUUGUCCCACUGCAAGCCAGUAAGCAAAACUAAAGCGCUGAUGAAGGAUGGACAAUAGAUUAUCUGCCCCCUUUGUAGCAGGAAGUCUCUGAAAGCAAAGUAAUGGACUAGAUUUUCUGUUUGUACUCACUGAUCUAGAUGAACUUGGAAUUAUAUUUUUACAAUUUUAAUGAAAUUGUCUCUGUUAUAAUCAUACUACUUUUAAAAACAUUUUUUCAUAUGGUAAUAUAUUUGUUUCUUUUGAUAUUUACUGAAAGUUAUGGAAUGUGAAUGAUUAAGAAAAUGUUCUCCAAGUAUCUUCCAGUUGAAAAAUGAUCUUGUACAUUUUCUGUGCAAAUUCCAUAUGUAAGAACACAGGAAAUAGGAACAUAAGCAAGCCAGUCAGCUCUUUGAUCUCUUUGAUGAUAGUGAAAUCUUCUACUCCACAUCAUUUUCCUGUACUAACCUCCAUUUUUUAAAACAAAUUAAACAAUUUUGCUCUCAUCUGCAUCUCGGUGAAUAACAAUAAUAAGUGAAUGUAUUUCCUAUUAAUUGUCAUGUUUGAUAAAAGAGUUAAAGAGAUAUCCAAAGAAAGAACCAAGCUGAGAAAUGAGAUUGUCAAGUAAUGGAUAUGAUUAAGAUUGAACAAUAUUUAGGGAUAGUAAGCUUCUGGUUUUGGCCUAUUGAUUUUUGACUAUCUUAAUAAGUAUGCAAUGAAUAGUGGAAUUCAAAAAAUGAGGCCUAAGCAAGCAAAGUGGUGUCUUUCUACUCAUUUAUCAUCUGUCGUCACUAUUUUUCCUCAGUACAUAAUGGAAGUAGCCAUUCAGUGAAUGCAACAAACGAUAUGACCUAUAUUUAAACUCAUACUACGUGUUACUGUUGUAAACACAAAAAAUGACUUGAUUUGUGUGUUUGAUGUUUGAAAUGCUAGUGAAUAAAAUCUACCCUCUGGUCAAAUCUGAUCACUUCCAUGAACUCAGAGAAAUCUAUGGACCUAUAGUUAAAUAGUAAGCACCAUAUUUAUCUUACAGUAAUUAAACAAUUCACAGAGUGAACUGGGCAAACCACCUACCGUGAAGCAUUUUCUUCUACUUAGCCUAAUGUGAUAAGGUUUAAAUACAGAGGCUGGUAUGUUGAAGCAAAAUCACUGGUAUGCUGAUUUUAACUUUCUUACUAUAGCCAAACCCAUAUAUUCUUGCAUGUUAAAAUUCAAAUUAUUGUGUCCAGAACACAGUACUAAUGACCAUGUCAGUGUGUUAUUGAAUACACAAUAAUGUGCACCUUUUAUUGUAGAUGUGUUGUUUUCGCAGGUUUUUCUGAUUAACCUUGCUUAAUUAGUCUAUCAAGCCAAUUGAAAUGUGAACAUUUUUAAAUUUCUUUAAAUAUUGGAUUGAAUAAGUAUGUUAAAAUCUGAUUGAUGCUUAUCCAGUAGCCAAGUAUUUCUUGGAAGAUUUCAAUGCAAUUGUGAUGUUAGAGUGGAUUUGUACCUUUAUUACUCCAGAUUUACUCAGAGAUGUUACCCACGUUCUCAAAUUCCAGGCCAUGGUUAUGUAUAAAUAUAUGCAAUUGUUUAUGGUGUUUACAUUAGUGAUAUGAAGAGGGGCUUAAUAAAAACAGGUAGCUGUCGAAUGUUCUUAUUUUCAUCAAGCCCUGAAAGUUUACACUGAUUUCCACUUGUGUGCUGGUUGCUACAUUUGGACAUAUGAUAAUUAUUUUGUAAGGAAAUUUUGGCAUAAAUUGCUCUUGACAGGAUCAGAAUGGAAUCCCAUAUAAAUUUCAUUAAGUCAGAUUAAAGAAAUUUCAUUCCUUAAGGCAUCCUAAUUCUGCAAUGAGCUGUUUCCCUGCUAAUUUGAAUUAUUUUCAAAUUUACAAGUCUGAAGAAGUUUUAAGAAAUACUAGGUUCUGUACAGAUAAUGCUCUUUGUUCCUGUAUAAAUACAGAAAUGCUAUUUUAUUAGUGAGAACAUUAUAUUAGCUGAAACAAUUACAUUCUAGGCACAUUUACACAAAAAGGUGUGAUUCAGAUUAAAUAGAUGCGUGAAACCUUAUGCAGUGACAUUGUAACCCACUGGUGAAAGCAGAAUAAUCAGUUUUGACUAAUCGUGUCAUCCUUAGUCACUUCUGUUUGCUUGCCCAGUGAGAAGUCAAAGAUUUAGCUUGCUAUAUACACGCAAUAUCAGGCAUUAUAAAGCAAUAAUUACAUGAUGGCUUGUGGAUUUUUUUAGCCUGGAGUUGGGGCAAGUCACACUUAUCAGAGUACACCCCACUGAGCACUCCAGCAGUUAGCAUUUCUUGGAUGAAAGUGUGCUGACCUUCAUUUUUGUAGUGCUGGUUUCCUGUCAGAGAGGAUCAAUAGUUUAGCAACCUGCUUGUGCUGCUUACCUCUGUUCUCAUACUGAGUCCUAUCUCCAGGCUGGAAUCAAUAUCUUUAAUCUGUUCUUCACUAUAAUAAGUUGCGCAAGGCAGAGUUUCGAGCUGGAAUUCUAUGGGUUGAUGGAAGCGGUUACUUCAGCUUUUGUAGAUUUUUAUCCCAUAACAUCUUUUUACUCAGGGAAUUAAUUAUAAUAUAAAUAUGUCUUCUGUCCAUGUUUAAAUUCAUAUUACAAGCAUUUGCUCGUGAUCUCUGGUUCCCUUUAAACAUGAUACACUUCCAUUUAACACUUGCAAAUAAAUGACAACAAGGGUGAUUCCACCAAAGCCUUAAUAUUAAUCCUGCUCUGUAAUGAUGAUUCAUACCAUAUUGGCACUUUUAGCAAAGUGAGAACUGGAAUCCAUUGAGCUGCACAGUACAUUAUCGUGCAGCUCAUCAAAAAAAUUCAUGUUGAUUUUUAUUGUCAUGAAAUAUGCUUGUACUUGAAAUAAACACAUUUCGGCCAGUUUAACAGGAAAAUGUUUGAAACUUACAGAAUAGACCACUGUUCACCAAAGUUUGUGAAAUUACACUGCAGAGCUGAAAUUUGGGCUUGAGCACCUUUAUGUUCUCUAUUUCAAUUUCUAUAAUGUUUUGUAUCAGCCCAAAUUUGACCUAUUUUUUAUGUUCUGUCAACUGUCACUUCGGUUCUUCAAUCCAUUUGUCAGUAAUUCUCUUGUAGUUUCAUGCUGGAUUUCCUCCUGGGUAUGGUAAAAGAACUUGGCAUCUUCAAGCCAACCACACAGCAAUCUGAAUAGCCUUGCUUUAGGUAAUUUACUUCUAACUUGAUCCAUCAGAUAUUUUGGCCUUCAUGAAUUGCCUGAAUGAGACUUGAAAUACUGGAUCUGGCAGAAGCUUUUCAUAUGAUGCCUUUCGCUCACAAAAAAAAUUUCCAUCUGUUGGUAAAAUAUUGCAGAAUAGCUCUAGACCCAAUCAUCUGCAGAGGUUUCAUCAAUUACCUUCCUUCCAUCAUAAGUUCAGAAUGAGAAUAUUUGCUAUUGAUUUCGCAAUGUUCAGUGGCAUUCACAAUUCCUCAGACACUGAAGCACUAUGUUCCAAUAUGCAGCAAGACCUGGACAACAUAAAGAUUUGAACUGUUAAUUGAAGUCUCAAGUGGUAUUUUCAUCAUACACGUGCCCUUAAAUGACCCUUUCCAAAUAGGGAAGAUUUAACCGUCUCAGCCCUGUAACCAACAUCCAUUGACAAGAAACUGAACUGGACUAAUUAUAUAAAUGCUGUGGCUACAAGAGCAGGUCAGAAGCUGGUAAAUGUGAGGCAGCUAACUCAACAUUGCUUGCCAAAGUAUUUCCACCAUCUACAAGGUACAAGUCAGGAGUAGGGUGCAAUGCUCUUCGUUUGCUUGGAUGCGUGCAACCCCAACAAGACUCAAGAAACUUGACACCAUCCAAGACUAAGCAAGUUGCUUGAUCAGUGGCUCAUUCACCAACUUAAACAUUCAUUUAUUUCACUGCUAAUGCACAUUGCUACGGUUUGCAGCAUCUACAAUGUGCUCUGUAGUACAUCUCAUUAAGGCUCCUUUGACAAAACCGUCCAACUCUCAAAUGCAUGAAAGGAUGACAGUGGUAAAUACAGGGAAUGCCACAAGUUUCCCUCCAAGGUACGCACCACCCUGACUUGGGAACUAUUUUGCCGCUCUUUCACUAUCGCAGAUAAACAUCCUGGAGUUCCCUUCUCAGAUGCACUACAUAUGUUUCCACAGCAAAUAGACUGGUGUGGUUCAAGAACCCAGCUCAUUAGCACUAUCUCAAGGACAGUUAAAGAUGGACAAUAACUGUUGGCCUUGCUAGUGAUGGCUAUGGCCCAUGAAAGAAUAAAAUACUAAAAAGCAAUGAAAGCAAAAACAUGAAUAUAAACGUGCUGGAAAAACUAAGCAAGUUUGGCCGCAUCUGAGAAUUCGUACAAUGCAGAAGGAGGCCAUUCAGCUCAUCAAGUCCACACUGAUCCUCCGAAGAGCGUCACACCAAGACCCAGCCUCCUACCACAUCCCAUAACCCCACAUUUACUGUGGCUAAUCCACCUAGCCGACACAGCCCUGAACACUCUGGGCAUUUUUUUUAGUA